rnacentral:misc_RNA from 1 species
AAAGUAGUAGUGUAGAUUGAGCUCGGCCUUUUAUUAAGGAGGAAUAAAUCUAAGUCUACG